ensembl:lncRNA
GUUUUCUCAGGGCCUACUACUGCGCCAGGUCGACAUGAUUUAUGACAACAUUGCAGCAAGCUCAGCAAUGCUUAGUGAAAUGGCCAGAAAGCUAAAGGAGGUGUGAGUUAUAGCUGUUGAGAGGAAGAGAAGACAUAAAGGCCAGCAGAUUGGUGGAAAAAAGGAGCUUGUUGUGAUUGAUGAGAGCCAGUUUCAACAUAAAAGAAAGAUGUGCUGUGAAUUUAUAUCUUUAAAUCAUUUCAAUUUUAUACAGAUGAUCUAAUCUGAUUUGUAUAUUAAUAUGGAUUAAUAAAGACGCAUCGGUAACACUUUUCUCUCCAUAUCGCCAUUUCUUUCAAAUCCAAGCUAAAUACACAUAGAAACAGUACAUCCUUGUGGCGCAGCUGAUACAGAAGAGCGUGUGCAGCAUACGGUGAUAUGGAGAGAGACCGAGGAGACUGCUGACAAAGGAAUUGUUGAAUAAAGUCGUUAUUUUUGUUUCUUUGCUUACAAAUGUAUUCUUGUCGCUUCAUAAUGUUACGGUUGAACCACUGAUGGAAGAUGGAGUAUUCUGACAAUGUCUUUCAUACUUACCUGGACCUUGACAGUGUCAUUUACUUGGCAGACUAUGGGACAGUCACAAGCCUCCCGGUUUUCAUCCAAAAUAUCUUAAAUUGUGUUCCGAAGAUGAACGAAGCUUUUACGGGUUUGGAACGACAUGGGGGUAAGUGAUUAAUGAAAAAAAAAAUCAUUUUGGGGUGGAGUAUCCCUUUAACAUUAGUUAAUGCACUGUGAAUUAACAAAAAUACAGUAGUUCAUUAACUAACAUUAACAAAAAAUAAAUAGUGUAAUAAAUGUAUUGUUCAUUGUUUGUUCAUGUUAGUUAAUACAUUAACUAACAUUAAUUAAUGGAACCUUGUUGUAAAGUGUUACUGAUGAGUCUUUCUUUUUUUAUCUGACUCUAUAGGAGAGGAAGAAUGACUGGAGGAUGGAAGAGAAAGAAGUGGGUAUUUGGGAUGCUGAGUGUCAGAAAUAAAGGAUAUGGAAGUGUUAGGCCGAUUCUACAGUUUGUGGAGAAAAGGUCUCAAAGGCAUUCUGUCUCCUUGAUCGCCCAUCAUGUAAGAUCUGAGUCCUCUGUCAAUAGUGACCGGUGGAGUGCCCACCACAUACUGUCGGUUCUAGGGUAUGAGCAUCAUACUGUUAACCACAGCAGGUGGUAUGUAGACCCCCUAUACAUAAAGAUCCGGAGGCUUAGGAGGAACCGGAAUGAAAGUUUGCUAUCUGAUCACCUGUAAUUGAGUGGCAUGAAAGGCUUGCUAUUCAACAUCGUAAUGGGGCCUUUGGUAGAAUAAUUCAUUACAUUUCAAAACUGUACAAUUGUGCGUGUGUUGUUUUUUUUUUACACAAAUUCCUGUGGUUGUGUGGUUUCUUUCUGCCAGGCCAUCUUUUCUUUGUCAUAUCAAGCCAUGUUAAUAAAAAUAAAUGAGUUAUGAUUUUAGUAUGACCU